rnacentral:tRNA from 1 species
GUUUAGUUGGUAAAGCGCUCGUCUAGCAUACAAGAGUCCUGGGUUCAAAUCCCAG